rnacentral:rRNA from 1 species
UCCUACGGGGGGCAGCAGUGAGGAAUAUUGGUCAAUGGCCGAGAGGCUGAACCAGCCAAGUCGCGUGAGGGAAGACGGCCCUACGGGUUGUAAACCUCUUUUGUCGGGGAGCAAAGCGAACCACAUGUGGUUCAUUGAGAGUACCCGAAGAAAAAGCAUCGGCUAACUCCGUGCCAGCAGCCGCGGUAAUACGGAGGAUGCGAGCGUUAUCCGGAUUUAUUGGGUUUAAAGGGUGCGCAGGCGGAGGCACAAGUCAGCGGUAAAAUCGCGGGGCUCAACCCCGCUCCGCCGUUGAAACUGUGUCC